GGAAAAAGAGUCAAGCAAAUGGCAGUGGGAUGGAUCAAAGCAAAUGCUCUGGGCUACACCUUGCUCUUGAGAGAUGCUCUGGGGACAAAGAUGUCUGUUGGUACCUCAUCACAAUGGUAAUGCUCUAGGUUGCAGUGGUUAACCUGGAUAUCCCUUAUAGAUUCACUGGUCCUCACUUACUGGACUCAGUCUUCGAAGUGGGCAUGAAAGCUAGAAAUGCAGUAUUUAUACUUACAGAUCCAGUUGUUGUAACUCAGGUAGUUGAAAAGCAAGAAUAAGCUGGAGAAACAGGAGUAGCACAUAAAUCACCUCUUUUAUUAAUACUUUUCCACUGGCUUUAAUGAAGCUGUCUUCUUUAUCAUCUCAGACAUGGUGAAAAGUUAUUACACUGUCUUUGUAGAGGCCUUUUCAGUCUCUUUCAGAUCUAAUUACCUAAUUGAGGGAAAACUUUUAGUUUAGAGAUGAACAGAAAUUUUGCUCUGUGGUUUGUUUUUUUUUCCGUGGUUUGCUCUGAGAUUUCUGUAUUCUUUCUUUAUCAGCAUAUCCAUCUCCCAUGGAAGUUGACUGUGUGCUUUGGAGUCCAUUUGCUGAGGAUGAUUCUGCUUUGUCUACUGAAUGGGGAGUGGAUCAUUAGUGGAGCACAAGUGCUACCAGUGGUGACCAAAAGCUGUGGUGACCUGACCAGCCUCUGAAGUCCCUGGUGAGGUAGCCAUGAGUGCUGUGUGAGCACCCUGAUGGCGGGCAGCACUCGGAGUUGUCAUCAGCCGCUGGUCCUUUAGUGCUUCUUCAGGCAAGUGGUGUAAGCACUUGUGGGUGAGAGCAGACAUCCUUCCCCUGCUUCUGCUGUAAAAGCGAUGCAGACACAUGGGUGAGCUCAAUAGCCUCACAUUUCAGGCCAACAAGCAUUUCAGGGACAGCUUCAAAGGCUCAAAAUAAAGGCUCAAACUCCUGUGGGUACAGGAGAUCAACUUUACUGUCUAGUCUUGGAAAAAUAAGAAUAAUUAUUUUUUUCUGUUUUCAUAUUUUUUCUUUAAAAUAGAUAAGAAACUUGGUUUUUUAAUAAGAAACUUGAAAAUUAGUGCUUAAAAUCAAUAAGCUACAAUUCCUAUGAAAAUGGUUUAUCUGGAGCAGCUGGGUUUAUAUCCUCAAGGGAGAGGCUGGAGAAAGUCAAGGGAAAAACCAGGAGUACAUGAUUGUUUCUGUAUUGAUUCACAGAUCUGUUUGCCAUCAAUGCUAUCGUUGUUGUGGUGAUAUGGACUGUUACAGCUAAGAGCGAAGAACGCAGAAAGUAAGGGGUUUGACCCUGCAGCUUGAAGUACUCAAAGGUUUAGUGUUCUGAGCAAGGCGAUAAUCCAAAGCCUAUAAAGGCAGAAGAAAAACAGCCUUUGGCUCCAGUGGGCAUUGCAUCAGGCCUGCAGAUGACUGGCAAUCAGCAGACUUCAUACUGUGUAAUUCUGUAUGAAAGAAGCGUUAGUUCUCCAACAUACAGUCAGCUGAGGAGGAAUAAGACAUGCUGUGUCUUUGCAAUUCACCCUUCUGGCCAGCAGACAUCCCUGUCACUGCAGGCAAUGUAGAUGUUCUUGCACAACUGGUGGAAACACAUCUAGCUCUGCUUUGCAACUGCUGCUUCCUGCUAAGCCAUCACCAGAGAAAGAAUUAGCAGAGAAGCCAUUGUCACAUACCUCAAAUCUGAGCCCUGGGUUAUAUUUGAACGAGCACAGGAGAGAGACUGAAGACUCUAUGACCCCUGUGAAUUGAGGGAUUGGUUUUUCUAAACUGGAGGGUGAAUGUCAGAAGAUCAGAUUACAAAUGUCUACCCCUGUGUUUUCACUGUGUGUUGGGUCACCUGGAGUUCAGGCUCUGUAAAGUCCAAGGAGGUGGUUCCAGAGCGGUUUAAGCACUUCAGCAAUUCCUAGCACUGGCGGUCUGAAUUUGGGAAGGAUUUCCUAACAUGUCUGAAAGCCAAAAGCUUCUUUGCUAAUUUAAUAAAGAAGAGUGAACCAGUGAGCAAGUCCCUAGAAGACAGACUAAUUUGUUAUAUAAUCCCUUUUUAAUGUGGAGAAUUAAGGUGACGGCAAGAUGACUACUUGUUUAAUUUUCCAAAUAAUUACUGGCGGGUAUUGACAUUAAAGGUGGGAGAGAGCAAGUUGAUUUCUGCUUGUUGUUUUCAGCACGUGCCAGACUGUUACUUCACACCAGUGAGAAAAGGCUGGAAGUUGUAUAUUCCAUAUGCAUGAAGUAACAGUUGGCACAAAUCACUAAAAGGAGAAAAUUAAAAACCACUAAAGCCCAGCAACCCAAACUGUCACUUGCUGACAUGUUUUUUUAGUUUCUCUGCUAAAAAAAAAUAAAUUAAAAAAAAAUAAAUGAAGGCCUCAAACAGAGUAUUCCACUGAGUAAACCUGGGUGUCUGGUUAGGUUCUCCUCAAUGCAAAUAAUACGUGAGAAGGCAGCAAUAGCCUUGGUUUUCCAACCUCCUCCUCCCCUACACCUUUGUGAAAUGCUGUCACAGGCAGCCCCAGAGUGGGGCAGGGGAGGAUGACAGCACUUAGGGAUGAUGAAGCACCUUCUGCUGACAGUCUUGGCCAUGAAAAACCUGUUCUUUGCCAUUGAUAAGGAUGGAGGUGCUUGGAGAUGUUCUGCCAUGUAAAUCAGGAUAAUGGAGUUUUAUAUCUAUCCUUUGCUGGCAUUAUUGAAUAUGACCCAAAACAGCUCAAGGUUGCUGUAUCUGCUUGACUUGCUGAUAACUCGUGUCCUUACAUAGGCCUGGGAUAUCUUUGGCAUUUUUUGCCAUGGCUGCCAGUGCUUCAGAGGCACAAAGGGAUUCUAGUGUCCUACCCAGCCACCUGCUCAACCUGCCCAAGGACCUGCUGCCCAUGUCAGCUCCCUGAGCCUACCCACCUCAGUGAUGCUGCAGCAGGGCCAGGCUCCAGCUGCCCCCAGCCCUGCCUGGCCAGGGCCCCACAGAGCCAGACCCACAUCCCAUCCUGUCACCACAGCCUGUGUGGUGCCCUGGCAAUGGCCAUGGUUACAGGAGUUUUCCCACAUGCUUUCUGUUCAAGAUGAUAUCCUUCGCUCACAGGAUUCCAUGACCAUCUACGUCUUCCCUGUCACUUGCAUGUAAGUAUACUUAUUGAGAGUCAAGCCUUGUAUAUGAAUAUAUGGGGUAAAGCAUACAGAAGUAUAAUAUAUUGUUAGUUUCAGGUUACUUUCCUGUCCUGCAAUCUCCCUUUCUCCUCCCUUUCCCCUCUAAUCUACAGGGGAGAAGCUGGGGGUGAAGUGAGGCAGCCUGUAAAGCAAGGAAUGACAGGCAAAUCCGUAUCAGGAAUUAAUUUCAGCAUGUUUCAUAUCAAAUCACUCAGGAAU
rnacentral:lncRNA from 1 species